UACGUAGGGUGCAAGCGUUAAUCGGAAUUACUGGGCGUAAGGCGUGCGCAGGCGGUAAUGUAAGACAGUUGUGAAAUCCCCGGGCUCAACCUGGGAACUGCAUCUGUGACUGCAUUGCUGGAGUACGGCAGAGGGGGAUGGAAUUCCGCGUGUAGCAGUGAAAUGCGUAGAUAUGCGGAGGAACACCGAUGGCGAAGGCAAUCCCCUGGGCCUGUACUGACGCUCAUGCACGAAAGCGUGGGGAGCAAACAGG
rnacentral:rRNA from 1 species